GACGAACGCUGGCGGCGUGCUUAACACAUGCAAGUCGAACGGAAAGGCCCAGCUUGCUGGGUGCUCGAGUGGCGAACGGGUGAGUAACACGUGGGUGAUCUGCCCCUAACUUCGGGAUAAGCUUGGGAAACUGGGUCUAAUACCGGAUAGGACAAUCGUUUAGUGUCGGUUGUGGAAAGUUUUUUCGGUUAGGGAUGAGCCCGCGGCCUAUCAGCUUGUUGGUGGGGUAAUGGCCUACCAAGGCGUCGACGGGUAGCCGGCCUGAGAGGGUGGACGGCCACAUUGGGACUGAGAUACGGCCCAGACUCCUACGGGAGGCAGCAGUGGGGAAUAUUGCACAAUGGGCGCAAGCCUGAUGCAGCGACGCCGCGUGGGGGAUGACGGCCUUCGGGUUGUAAACCUCUUUCGACAGGGACGAAGCUUUGGUGACGGUACCUGGAGAAGAAGCACCGGCUAACUACGUG
rnacentral:rRNA from 1 species